UAUAGCAUUAUACCGUGAAACUGCGAAUGGCUCAUUAAAUCAGUUAUCGUUUAUUUGAUAAUACCUUACUACUUGGAUAACCGUGGUAAUUCUAGAGCUAAUACAUGCUGAAAAUCCCGACUUCGGAAGGGAUGUGUUUAUUAGAUAAAAAACCAAUGCCCUUCGGGGCUUUUUGGUGAUUCAUGAUAACUUUACGGAUCGCAUAGCCUUGCGCUGGCGACGGUUCAUUCAAAUUUCUGCCCUAUCAACUUUCGAUGGUAAGGUAUUGGCUUACCAUGGUUUCAACGGGUAACGGGGAAUUAGGGUUCGAUUCCGGAGAGGGAGCCUGAGAAACGGCUACCACAUCCAAGGAAGGCAGCAGGCGCGCAAAUUACCCAAUCCCGACACGGGGAGGUAGUGACAAUAAAUACUGAUACAGGGCUCUUUUGGGUCUUGUAAUUGGAAUGAGUACAAUUUAAACCUCUUAACGAGGAACAAUUGGAGGGCAAGUCUGGUGCCAGCAGCCGCGGUAAUUCCAGCUCCAAUAGCGUAUAUUAAAGUUGUUGCAGUUAAAAAGCUCGUAGUUGAAACUUGGGCCUGGCUGGCGGGUCCGCCUCACCGCGUGCACUCGUCCGGCCGGGCCUUCCUUCUGAAGAACCUCAUGCCCUUCACUGGGCGUGCUGGGGAAUCAGGACUUUUACUUUGAAAAAAUUAGAGUGUUCAAAGCAGGCCUUUGCUCGAAUACGUUAGCAUGGAAUAAUAAAAUAGGGCGUGCGUUUCUAUUUUGUUGGUUUCUAGAGACGCCGCAAUGAUUAACAGGAACAGUCGGGGGCAUCAGUAUUCAGUUGUCAGAGGUGAAAUUCUUGGAUUUACUGAAGACUAACUACUGCGAAAGCAUUUGCCAAGGAUGUUUUCAUUAAUCAGUGAACGAAAGUUAGGGGAUCGAAGACGAUCAGAUACCGUCGUAGUCUUAACCGUAAACUAUGCCGACUAGGGAUCGGGCGAUGUUCUUUUUCUGACUCGCUCGGCACCUUACGAGAAAUCAAAGUUUUUGGGUCUGGGGGA
rnacentral:rRNA from 1 species